UACGUAGGGGGCUAGCGUUGUCCGGAUUUACUGGGCGUAAAGAGCGCGCAGGCGGUCGUUCAAGUCGAGUGUGAAAGCCCCCGGCUCAACUGGGGAGGGUCACUCGAUACUGAUCGACUUGAAGGCAGGAGAGGGAAGCGGAAUUCCCGGUGUAGUGGUGAAAUGCGUAGAUAUCGGGAGGAACACCAGUGGCGAAGGCGGCUUCCUGGCCUGUUCUUGACGCUGAGGCGCGAAAGCUAGGGGAGCAAACGGG
rnacentral:rRNA from 1 species